GUGGGGAAUAUUGGACAAUGGGCGAAAGCCUGAUCCAGCCAUACCGCGUGGGUGAAGAAGGCCUUCGGGUUGUAAAGCCCUUUUGUUGGGAAAGAAAAGCAGCCGGUUAAUACCCGGUUGUUCUGACGGUACCCAAAGAAUAAGCACCGGCUAACUUCGUGCCAGCAGCCGCGGUAAUACGAAGGGUGCAAGCGUUACUCGGAAUUACUGGGCGUAAAGCGUGCGUAGGUGGUUGUUUAAGUCUGUCGUGAAAGCCCUGGGCUCAACCUGGGAACUGCGAUGGAAACUGGGCAACUAGAGUGUGGUAGAGGGUAGCGGAAUUCCUGGUGUAGCAGUGAAAUGCGUAGAUAUCAGGAGGAACAUCCAUGGCGAAGGCAGCUACCUGGGCCAACACUGACACUGAGGCACGAAAGCGUGGGGAGCAAACAGGAUUAGAAACCCCGGUAGUCC
rnacentral:rRNA from 1 species